GGGUUGUGAGGUUAAGCGACUAAGCGUACACGGUGGAUGCCCUGGCAGUCAGAGGCGAUGAAGGACGUGCUAAUCUGCGAAAAGCGUCGGUAAGGUGAUAUGAACCGUUACAGCCGGCGAUGUCCGAAUGGGGAAACCCAGUGCAAUUCGUUGCACUAUCGUUAACUGAAUACAUAGGUUAACGAGGCGAACCGGGGGAACUGAAACAUCUAAGUACCCCGAGGAAAAGAAAUCAACCGAGAUUCCCCCAGUAGCGGCGAGCGAACGGGGAGCAGCCCAGAGUCUGAAUCAGCUUGUGUGUUAGUGGAACGGUCUGGAAAGUCCGACGGUACAGGGUGAUAGUCCCGUACACCAAAAUGCACAGGCUGUGAACUCGAAGAGUAGGGCGGGACACGUGGUAUCCUGUCUGAAUAUGGGGGGACCAUCCUCCAAGGCUAAAUACUCCUGACUGACCGAUAGUGAACCAGUACCGUGAGGGAAAGGCGAAAAGAACCCCGGCGAGGGGAGUGAAAAAGAACCUGAAACCGUGUACGUACAAGCAGUGGGAGCACC
rnacentral:rRNA from 1 species